rnacentral:rRNA from 1 species
UACGUAGGUGGCGAGCGUUGUCCGGAUUUAUUGGGCGUAAAGCGCGCGCAGGCGGUGCGGUAAGUCUGUCGUGAAAUCUCCCGGCUCAACUGGGAGGGUGCGGUGGAGACUGCCGGACUGGAGGCACUCAGAGGCCGGUGGAAUUCCCGGUGUAGUGGUGAAAUGCGUAGAGAUCGGGAGGAACACCAGUGGCGAAGGCGGCCGGCUGGGGGUGACCUGAUGCUGGAGGCGCGAAAGCGUGGGGAGCGAACCGG